rnacentral:rRNA from 1 species
UACAGAGGUCUCAAGCGUUGUUCGGAUUCAUUGGGCGUAAAGGGUGCGUAGGUGGCGAGGUAAGUUGGAUGUGAAAUUCCGGGGCUCAACCCCGGAACUGCAUUCAAUACUGCCUUGCUAGAGUACUGGAGAGGAGAUUGGAAUUUACGGUGUAGCAGUGAAAUGCGUAGAUAUCGUAAGGAAGACCAGUGGCGAAGGCGGAUCUCUGGACAGUUACUGACACUGAGGCACGAAGGCCAGGGGAGCAAACGGG